GUCAGGAUGGCCGGGUGGUCUAAGAUGUUGCGUUCAGUUCGCGGUCCACUUCGAUGGGCGUGGGUUCGAAUCCCACUUCUGAUA